rnacentral:rRNA from 1 species
ACGCUAGCGGCAGGCCUAAUACAUGCAAGUCGAGGGGUAACAGAGGGUGCUUGCACCCUGCUGACGACCGGCGCACGGGUGAGUAACACGUAUGCAACCUACCUUUUACUGGGGGAUAGCCAAGAGAAAUUUUGAUUAAUACCCCAUACGAUCUAAUUAUUUCCUGAUAAAUAGAUGAAAGUUUCGACGGUAAAAGAUGGGCAUGCGUCCUAUUAGUUUGUUGGUAAGGUAACGGCUUACCAAGACUACGAUAGGUAGGGGUCCUGAGAGGGAGAUCCCCCACACUGGUACUGAGACACGGACCAGACUUCUACGGGAGGCAGCAGUAAGGAAUAUUGGACAAUGGAGGAAACUCUGAUCCAGCCAUGCCGCGUGCAGGAAGAAUGCCUUAUGGGUUGUAAACUGCUUUUAUACAGGAAGAAAACUUGGUAUGUAUACCAACUUGACGGUACUGUAAGAAUAAGGAUCGGCUAACUCCGUGCCAGCAGCCGCGGUAAUACGGAGGAUCCAAGCGUUAUCCGGAAUCAUUGGGUUUAAAGGGUCCGCAGGCGGUUUAAUAAGUCAGAGGUGAAAUCCUACAGCUCAACUGUAGAAUUGCCUUUGAUACUGUUAGACUUGAGUUAUUGUGAAGUAAUUAGAAUGUGUAGUGUAGCGGUGAAAUGCAUAGAUAUUACACAGAAUACCGAUUGCGAAAGCAGAUUACUAACAAUAUACUGACGCUGAGGGACGAAAGCGUGGGUAGCGAACAGGAUUAGAUACCCUGGUAGUCCACGCCGUAAACGAUGGAUACUAGCUGUUCGAUGCACAUUGGUGUGUUGAGUGGCUAAGCGAAAGUGAUAAGUAUCCCACCU